AUUGAACGCUGGCGGCAGGCCUAACACAUGCAAGUCGAGCGGAUGAAGGGAGCUUGCUCCUGGAUUCAGCGGCGGACGGGUGAGUAAUGCCUAGGAAUCUGCCUGGUAGUGGGUGAUAACGUCCGGAAACGGGCGCUACUACCGCAUACGUCCUGAUGGAGCAAGUGGGGGAUCUUCGGACCUCACGCUAUCAGAGGAGCCUAGGUGGGAGUAGCUAGUUGGUGGGGUUGAGGCCUUCUAAGGCGACGAUCCGUAACUGGUCUGAGAGGAUGAUCAGUCACACUGGAAGUGAGACAGGGUCCAGACGCCUAAGAGAGGCAGCAGUGGGGAAUAUUGGACAGUGGGCGAAAGCAUGAUCCAGUCAUCCCGCGUGUGUGAAGACGGUCUUCGGAGUGUAAAGACCGCUAUGGUGGGAGGAAGGGCAGUAAGUUGAUACCUUGCUGGUGUGACGUUAACAACAGAAUAAGCACCGGCUAACUUCGUG
rnacentral:rRNA from 1 species